UACGGAGGGGGCUAGCGUUGUUCGGAAUUACUGGGCGUAAAGGGCUCGUAGGUGGCCAACUAAGUCAUACGUGAAAUCCCUCAGCUUAACUGGGGAACUGCGCCUGAUACUGGUUGGCUUGAGUUUGGGAGAGGGACGCGGAAUUCCAGGUGUAGCGGUGAAAUGCGUAGAUAUCUGGAGGAACACCGGUGGCGAAGGCGGCGUCCUGGACCAAUACUGACACUGAGGCGCGAAAGCUAGGGGAGCAAACGGG
rnacentral:rRNA from 1 species